ACAAGCUAUGUCAUCAAUUAUGUGAAGUUCUUAUUCGACUACCAAACAACAUUGAAGCAACUCUUCUUGGAAUUUGGAAA